AGGUUUCUGCUCUUCUCGUGCGCGGCCCUAUUCCGGUGGCCGAUAAGCUUUCCGAGGGGGCUGGCUCUGGCGGGAUCCUGGUCUCGUUAUCUGGCGCCCACCUGAUAUGUUCAGGCUCUCGGGAAUUUCACGCCGACACGGAUGCUGCGGUUCCUGC
rnacentral:misc_RNA from 1 species